GUCUCUAUCGUCUAGUGGUUAGGACAUUGCCCUUUCACGGCAAUAACACGGGUUCAAAUCCCGUUGGAGAUG